UACGUUAGCGGCGGACGGGUGAGUAACACGUGGGUAACCUACCUAUAAGACUGGGAUAACUUCGGGAAACCGGAGCUAAUACCGGAUAAUAUUUCAACCGCAUGGUUCGAUAGUGAAAGAUGGUUUUGCUAUCACUUAUAGAUGGACCCGCGCCGUAUUAGCUAGUUGGUAAGGUAACGGCUUACCAAGGCGACGAUACGUAGCCGACCUGAGAGGGUGAUCGGCCACACUGGAACUGAGACACGGUCCAGACUCCUACGGGAGGCAGCAGCC
rnacentral:rRNA from 1 species